rnacentral:rRNA from 1 species
AUUGAACGCUGGCGGCAGGCCUAACACAUGCAAGUCGAACGAGUGGCGGACGGUUGAGUAAUGUCUGGGAAACUGCCCGAUGGAGGGGGAUAACUACUGGAAACGGUAGCUAAUACCGCAUACCAUCGGAUGUGCCCAGAUGGGAUUAGAUAGUAGGUGGGGUAACGGCUCACCUAGGCGACGAUCCCUAGCUGGUCUGAGAGGAGGACCAGCCACACGGGAACUGAGACACGGUCCAGACGCCUACGGGAGUGAGUAGUGGGGAAUAUUGCACAAUGGGCGCAAGGCUGAUGCAGCCAUGCCGCGUGUAUGAAGAAGGCCUUCGGGUUGUAAAGUACUUUCAGCGAGGAGGCGUUACUCGCAGAAGAAGCACCGGCUAACUCCGUGCCAGCCGCCGCGGUAAUAC